GGUGAUUGCUCGCCAAGUAUUACAGAGGAGUCUGGGGUCAGGGAUGAGCAGAAUUCCCUUCUCAGAGGUGGUACUUAAGGGAUGAACUGUGAGAUAAUCCCCUUUUCUCCUGUCAUCCUCCUCCUUAUUCAGUAUGUCCUACAGCAGACAAAAUCCUGGAACAUCAUUCUCUCCAAUGGGAGCGAGGAGGCACAAGUGCCUCGUUCCGCGCCGAAUGGGGCUCGGGGGUUGCGUGCUGGCAGUUCAGGGAGCCUCGCGUGCAGGGGAAGAUGAAUAAAUUACUGCCUGUGCCUUGCGGUGGGUUGUCCCCAGUGAAAUAAUCUAAACCUGUCAGAUUGUGACAGCUUGCUCUACCUGCACAAAUAACACCGUUUUAAGAAAUCAAGGACUGCUGAUAUUGCUGUAAUAGAUCUAAAAGCGCAUACUGAUGUGAUCUCCCAUCUCCUGCAAGAUGGCAUUUGAAGCUGCUGGUGUGCUGAAUAUUUCUGCAGUAUCAGCCUAUCAUCUAAGAAAUGUGGAUCAGAUUUUUUGAAAGAGUUCAGCAGCGAACAAAUCUCCCUCUUGUCUAGCUCUGAUACUUCAGAUCCUCAUACAUGAAAACCUGUAAAAAAACAAACAAACAAAAAAAAAAACACACCAACCAACCUUUCCCACUUUAAAAGCCACAACAGACUUAAACAACUGCCUGGAGAACAUCCCUGUGUAUCCAAACUCUAUAUUGUACUGAAAUGUUAUGUUCACAUACCCUAUUACAACAUGUACAAGUCUAUUGGAGCAC